UACGUAGGGUGCGAGCGUUAAUCGGAAUUACUGGGCGUAAAGCGUGCGCAGGCGGUUUUGUAAGCCAGAUGUGAAAUCCCCGGGCUUAACCUGGGAAUGGCAUUUGGGACUGCAAGGCUGGAGUUUGGCAGAGGAGACUGGAAUUCCUGGUGUAGCAGUGAAAUGCGUAGAUAUCUGGAGGAAUACCGGUGGCGAAGGCGGCAUCCUGGACCGGCAUUGACGCUGAGGAGCGAAAGCUAGGGGAGCAAACGGG
rnacentral:rRNA from 1 species